rnacentral:rRNA from 1 species
GGGCCCGCACAAGCGGUGGAGUAUGUGGUUUAAUUCGACGCAACGCGCAGAACCUUACCCAGGCUUGACAUCCUCGGAACCUGAUGGAAACAUCGGGGUGUCCCCUCACGGGGAAGCCGAGUGACAGGUGCUGCAUGGUUGUCGUCAGCUCGUGCCGUGAGGUGUCAGGUUAAGUCCUAUAACGAGCGCAACCCCUAUCGUUAGUUGCCAUCAAGUAAAGUUGGGAACUCUAGCGAAACUGCCGGUGCAAACCGUGAGGAAGGUGGGGAUGACGUCAAAUCAUCACGGCCCUUACGUCCUGGGCCACACACGUGCUACAAUGGUCAGUACAGAAAGCAGCCACUAUGCGAAUAGGAGCUAA